ACUAAAAAGCAUUGACCUUUUCGACAUUAUUUUAAGGGAGACAACUCUGAGUGGAUUAAGUGAGGUCGGGGGGGUACUCAAUCAUCUACUGCAGUGCGUCUGCAUAGAGUUCUGCGUUGAUGCAAUUAUAAUUUCACAAUAAUUUGCAGAUAUAACUUAUAUGGAACAUCACAGUGUCAACAGAAUUUCAGAAACUGGAAUACUGUAUCUCAUUCUGCAUGAAGCUCAAGACUUCUACACCUGGAAUGUUAUUAACUCUUGCAAUUAAUAUUAUACAUCACCACAGUUACAUAACUAUCUUUUUUGAAAAAAAUAAAAUAAAGAUACUUCA